rnacentral:lncRNA from 1 species
CUUCCCCACACUGCUCUGCUUUGUAUAAAUCCCGCUUGCUGUAUUCCCAGAGAAGCUCCAAUGGAAUUAGGCCCCGUGGAUGUCAAAAGAGAUAUAUAAAGAAAAGCAGGCUUCUAUGUGGGGCUUGCAAGGGAACAUGAGUUCCUUAUGAGCCACUGGCUAAUAGAGCUGCUUUUGCUCCUGUCUCUGUGUUCAAGUGCUCUGCCCGGGGAUCCUCCACAGUUUCCUGCUGCCCCUCAUCAUCUUCAUGACGGGCAUUUCCUGUCCUAGCUGCAGCUCUGAGAAUCUCUUUUUCUCUUAGGUUUAAUGUCUCACUGAAGAUGAACGUCACAUUAUCUAUCCCAAGCUCAGAUGGGGCAGAGACUGUCGGUCUGCUCAUCAAACCUCUCUGUGCCCCCGAAGGACCCUAAGCGGAGCAACAGUCAGACACAAGAGACUCACACGUGAAAGCUCUGAAACGGGUGGCGCUUCCUGCUUCGGGGAGAGACCGCAGACGGUGUGUCCCACGCCCGGCACCUGGCAGGCAUUCGGUCCAUCCAGGCCUUUCCUCCUCCUCCGACUGCAUGCAAGGGUAGGCCGGGCACCGCACAGUAAAUCUCCCCCGAGCUGCUCCCCAGGCGGGGUUGGUCCUUGAAGUCGGGCUUCACUGACUUCCGGGCCCAAGGACGAGGGCAUGAGCUGAGAGCAAAGCCAGCGCCUCCGUCUGACCCACAGAGGAUUAGGGGGUGGACUGGAGACCAGGAGUCAGCGGCGCCCUGGCCGGAGACAGGGCCUGCAAGAGCGGGACAUCCACCGAGCCUUCGCCGCGCAAGAUGCAUUCGGUGCAACUGAAACCAAGAUCAGGAAGAAAGGCGCUUGUAAAACUUGAAAAUAUCUUGUCACCUCCUUGCUU